CUGCAAACCCAACUCCCCUUUCACAGCCACCACCAGCAACGGUAAAUGCUGCACCACCACAACCGGCAACAGUUGUUGUAGCAUCGCCUUCACCUUCAUCACCACCACCACCGCCACCCCCUCUAGCAGCUGCUUCUCUCCCUCCCAAAGGCAAAAAGAAAGCGCUUGAUGGUUAUGUCCAAAUCCAAUACUGCAGCUACUUCAAGAUGCGUGUUGUUCUCAAAGAUAUUCGUUCCCAUUUACUCGAGUUACACUUAAUAAUCCAUUUCCAGUUUUUGACUAUUUGAUCAGCAUUUGUGAUUGAGAUUUUUGUUUUGGUAUUUUACUUUGCUCGAAUUCAUUCUAGGAAUUUAAGGUGUAAUUCAUCUAAAUUUGUUUUAUUUUUAUGUUAAUUUGGUUCAUAGCUUCAUAGGCGUGGUCUAUUUUUAGAAUUUAUUUUGUUUGCAAUCAUUUUGAAAUGCUUCAGAGCAGGUGAUCUCUUUCUGGGCUUGUAGUAUACUGUUUACUAGUUGCAAAUCCUCUAGCCCCUUUUAGAACAAUUAUUAGUUGAAUAUGCCCACGACCUCAGGUACUUAAUUAUCUUGCAUGAUCAAAUUUUAGACCCAAUUUCUUUCAGUUUUUCUACAUUUUGAAAACCUUGUCUCAGCCUCUAUAUACGAUGGAGAGAGUAAAAUGGUGCGGUAGACAAUAGUGCUCCACUUCAUAGUAAAAGUGCCCCUCUAUAGUUUUUGGCGCAUUAACCUUUUUAUCGUGCCUCAUGUGUUUAUAUUAAGGCUAAGGAGGCGAAAUUCAUUCUUGUUGUUGAAGGUGCUUCAAACAGUGGACUUUCGGAGUUGCAAAGGAGCUGAUGAACUUUGAGAGAGUUGAAGCUACUAAUGGAAUUAUACAACUAGAUGAUUGCUGAAGUAGUCACCACAAUGAAGCCGUCACCACAAUGAAGCCUAAGAAUGAACCUGCAAAGCAGCUCUUACCAAGUGAAAAUGGGAUUGGGUAAGAGCCUGAGGAGCAGAUUCAGGAAGUUAAGCUAGCAGAUCAGCCUCAAUCAAACUGAGUUUUUGCAAAACCAUCUAAAAGUAAGGAGGCUAUAGAUCUUGAGGAGCAAUCAUGCUGCAUAGGUGGAUCUGCUUUUUGCUGUAAUUUUAUAACCUUUUUAGGCACUAAACCAGUCUACUAUGGGAGAACAAAGGAAUCAUUUCGGGCUACUCAAGUGGCCUUGUAGGGAAUGAAGGUUCUCUAUUGUUGUUAGUUAAAGGAAAAUAAUAAUAGAAUGCUUUUCUCA